AUUGAACGCUGGCGGCAGGCCUAACACAUGCAAGUCGAGCGGUAGAGAGAAGCUUGCUUCUCUUGAGAGCGGCGGACGGGUGAGUAAUGCCUAGGAAUCUGCCUGGUAGUGGGGGAUAACGUUCGGAAACGGACGCUAAUACCGCAUACGUCCUACGGGAGAAAGCAGGGGACCUUCGGGCCUUGCGCUAUCAGAUGAGCCUAGGUCGGAUUAGCUAGUUGGUGGGGUAAUGGCUCACCAAGGCGACGAUCCGUAACUGGUCUGAGAGGAUGAUCAGUCGCACUGGAACUGAGACACGGUCCAGACUCCUACGGGAGGCAGCAGUGGGGAAUAUUGGACAAUGGGCGAAAGCCUGAUCCAGCCAUGCCGCGUGUGUGAAGAAGGUCUUCGGAUUGUAAAGCACUUUAAGUUGGGAGGAAGGGCAGUAAAUUAAUACUUUGCUGUUUUGACGUUACCGACAGAAUAAGCACCGGCUAACUCUGUG
rnacentral:rRNA from 1 species